rnacentral:tRNA from 1 species
GUGGAUGUAGCUCAGGGGUAGAGCACUUGACUGUGGAUCAAGUGGGCGUGGGUUCAAAUCCCAUCAUCCACC